rnacentral:rRNA from 1 species
GCCCAACACAUGCAGUCGAGCGGUAACAGGAGAAAGCUUGCUUUCUUGCUGACGAGCGGCGGACGGGUGAGUAAUGUAUGGGGAUCUGCCCGAUAGAGGGGGAUAACUACUGGAAACGGUGGCUAAUACCGCAUAAUGUCUACGGACCAAAGCAGGGGCUCUUCGGACCUUGCACUAUCGGAUGAACCCAUAUGGGAUUAGCUAGUAGGUGGGGUAAAGGCUCACCUAGGCGACGAUCUCUAGCUGGUCUGAGAGGAUGAUCAGCCACACUGGGACUGAGACACGGCCCAGACUCCUACGGGAGGCAGCAGUGGGGAAUAUUGCACAAUGGGCGCAAGCCUGAUGCAGCCAUGCCGCGUGUAUGAAGAAGGCCUUAGGGUUGUAAAGUACUUUCAGCGGGGAGGAAGGUGAUAAGGUUAAUACCCUUAUCAAUUGACGUUACCCGCAGAAGAAGCACCGGCUAACUCCGUGCCAGCAGCCGCGGUAAUACGGAGGGUGCAAGCGUUAAUCGGAAUUACUGGGCGUAAAGCGCACGCAGGCGGUCAAUUAAGUCAGAUGUGAAAGCCCCGAGCUUAACUUGGGAAUUGCAUCUGAAACUGGUUGGCUAGAGUCUUGUAGAGGGGGGUAGAAUUCCAUGUGUAGCGGUGAAAUGCGUAGAGAUGUGGAGGAAUACCGGUGGCGAAUGCGGCCCCCUGGACAAAGACUGACGCUCACGUGCGAAAGCGUGUGGAGCAGACAGGAUUAGAUACCCUGGUAGUCCACGCUGUACACGAUGUCGAUUUACAGGUUGUGGUCUUGAACCGUGGCUUCUGGAGCUAACGCGUUAAAUCGACCGCCUGGCGAGUACGGCCGCAAGGUUAAGACUCACAUGAAUUGACGGGUGCCCGCACAAGCGGUGGAACAUGUGGUUUAAUUCGAUGCAACGCGAAGAACCUUACCUACUCUUGACAUCCAGCGAAUCCUUUAGAGAUAGAUUAUUCCCUUCGGAACUCUAAAACAAGUGCUACAUGGCUGUCGUCAUCUCCUGUUCUGAAAUGUUUGGUUUAAGUCCCGCGACGAUCUCAACCUUAAUCCUUGUUGCCUCCACGUUAGUGUCGAUACUCAAAGACACUACCGCUGAUUACCCGAGAAACGUGGGCGAGGU